AACGAACGCUGGCGGCAUGCCUAACACAUGCAAGUCGAACGAUGCCUUCGGGCAUAGUGGCGCACGGGUGCGUAACGCGUGGGAAUCUGCCUUGGGGUUCGGAAUAACUCCCCGAACAGGGUGCUAAUACCGGAUGAUGUCGAAAGACCAAAGAUUUAUCGCCCUGAGAUGAGCCCGCGUAGGAUUUGCUAGUUGGUGUGGUAAAGGCGCACCAAGGCGGCGAUCCUUAGCUGGUCUGAGAGGAUGAUCAGCCACACUGGGACUGAGACACGGCCCAGACUCCUACGGGAGGCAGCAGUGGGGAAUAUUGGACAAUGGGCGAAAGCCUGAUCCAGCAAUGCCGCGUGAGUGAUGAAGGCCUUAGGGUUGUAAAGCUCUUUUACCCGGGAAGAUAAUGACUGUACCGGGAGAAUAAGCCCCGGCUAACUCCGUGCCAGCAGCCGCCGUAAUAC
rnacentral:rRNA from 1 species